rnacentral:rRNA from 1 species
UACGUAGGGGGCUAGCGUUGUCCGGAUUAUUGGCGUAAAGAGCGUGUAGGCGGCCAGGUAGGUCCGCUGUGAAAGUCCGAGGCUCAACCUCGGAAUGUCGGCGGAAACCCUCUGGCUAGAGUCCGGAAGAGGAGAGUGGAAUUCCCGGUGUAGCGGUGAAAUGCGCAGAUAUCGGGAAGAACACCCGUGGCGAAGGCGGCUCUCUGGAACGGUACUGACGCUGAGACGCGAAAGCGUGGGGAGCGAAC